UUUUCGGCCGCAAAAAGAUUCCUGGAAGAUCACGACGGUCCGAUGUACGACCUUCCAGGCGCCGGGGCGAUGGGCUUCGUCAGCACCAAGUACUCUACUCCGGAUUAUCCGGACGUUCAGCUUGUCUAUGGUCCACGAGGCGACAAUCAGAUGGGUUCCUUUUUCGCGGCACGCGCUGCCGAUGUGAGAAAAGAUACGUAUAACAACCUGUUCGAGGGAUUGAUAAAUCACGCAAGUUAUCGAUUACCUGCG
rnacentral:misc_RNA from 1 species